UUAGUAAUUCUUCCUCUUGUAACCGCAGGGGAAAAAAAUGAACUGGAGUCAGACUUCAGAAGGUUCUGGGAAGAAUUCCGCUCUUCCAGCUCUGAAAAGGUCAUCAGUUUAUACAGAGAAGACCCGGAGCAUAGAGAAAGAGAGACAGACAGUUGGAGAGUACCAUGGCUGUUCAAUUCUUCUCGUAGUUCAGGAGGGCGCCACUGAUGCCAUUGACAACAUCAUGUGCAAACUGAAUAUGGAGAGCAACGCAGCCUCCCGCCUUGACAGUGUUUGCCGACUACAACUUAAAUGAAUCAUCCUCCACUAAUGAGCUGGGGGCGUCAAAUCCAAGUGUUCUAUCAUUACUUGUUUAAUUCUGUCUAUGGGUCAUUGCUCUGAGAGAUUACAGGAACAUUGAGCUUAAACUUGUGCUUUCGGGACAAAGGAUUGCUGAAUUUGAUGCUAAACUUGUGCAUGAUGAUGGGAUGACGUAAAGGCAUUUUAUGAGGUGGACUGAACUACUUUGAGAUAUAUUGAUAACACUUCACACACAAAAUGAAAGGAAUGGCAGGCAGAUUUAAAUAAAACAAUGUUUGAUGCUGAAUUGACUAAUGAACAGCUAUUGAAAAAACGUGAUGACAGAAUUUGUGAAGCUGAUUGGAAGGACCUUAUUAAAUAUUGGAGAUCUCCUCAAUUUGAAGACAUGAGUUGGGGAAGCUGAUGUUGGGCCAGGGUUUGGUGGUGCUGAGCGGUCAGGUGCAGGCUAUACUACUGCCGGUUUUUAACACGUAGAUGGAAUGAAGAUAUGUCUACAGCGAUCUGACUUGUGACGUCCCUUGAAAAUUGUUUUGGAGACGGCAGGUUGAAAUCUGGAUUCACGAGACCUCUCGCCCCAGCCAUGCUUGAGGUCCAUACUUAAUCUGGAAGAAAAUAGCUGACGUGUGUCUACUUUGCAUAAGCACUGUAUUGAUGGUUCAUGCACCAAAGAUUAAUUAAAUUGGCUGAAAACAUUUACGGAGUGAGAAAAACAGGUGAGUUGAGCAAACGAUUUCAUUAAGAUUCUCCCUGGUGAAAAGGUUCCAGUUGAUGGUGUCGUCAUCAAAGGCCAAAGCUAUGUUAAUGAAAGUAUGAUAACUGGGGAAGCAAUGCCCAUUGCAAAGAAACUAGGAGACAAGGUUAUUGGUGGUACUGUAAAUGAUAAUGGUUAAGGCCACUCAUGUUGGAUUAGAAACGGCUCUGUCACAGAUAGUACAGCUAGUUGAAGCCGCUCAACUUGCAAGAGCUCCAGUGCAAAGGUUGUGGUGCCUGCAUUUGUUACAUGGCUUGGCUGGUUCAUAAAUGGGCAACUUCACCUCUACCCUCAGCAAUGGAUUCCUACUACUGUUAUGGUUGCCACCGGAAAAGGUGCUUCUCUAGGUGUUCUUAUCAAAGGUGGCAAUGCACUUCAGAAAGCUCACAAGGAUGUCUUCCUCACCUUCCACUGUAGAAGGGUUAGUAUGAACCACAUUUUUUAAGGUAUGCAUUUAUCUAUCCUGUAGUGUUGAGUUCUCAUGUGUGUGUUAAUCCAUGGUCUGCAUCAAACUAUUUAUUUGCUCAGGACCAUGAAACAUCAAAUGAUGUAUUUAAUUAAUGAUUACUAUGGGUUCUCUAAGACAAAUAGCAUGGUGCUGUGUAUAAAUUUCAGGUUAAUUAUGUUGAACAGGUUGCAUUUGACAUGCUUGCAGAUUUUUUAAAAUUCCUGAAUAUGCACUAAUAACCAGCUCAAGGGUUCUCUAAGACAAAUAGCAUGUUGCUGUGUAGAAAUUUCAGUUUAAGUAUGUUGAGCAGGUUGCAUUUGGCAUGCUUGCACUUUCUGAUGUUUCUCACAUCUGAUGUGUGCUGAAAAGGUCUUCGCUGAUUUUAAGUUGAAUAGUACUAUUUUGUUGCACGGCUCUGAAUUGCCAAGCACGGCUGGGUAAACUGAACCUGAGCUUGAGGACCAGUCAGUUGAUACAAGGAAUUCCUCCUGUGAUGAAUUUGUGUUGAAUACUACUGUAUAGUAAAGAAACCUGAAUACUACUCUGUUGCAUGGUACUACGCCAAAUAGUAAUCUUACGUUUAAUAUCAUUGCUUGCAUGCUUGCAUGCUUGCAGGAAUGCAUGAUACAUACUCCAUAUUAGCUGGUUGGUCCAUAUUAGCUGGUUGGUUCAUGACAAGGAAGUGCAUUGAUUUCUUUGUUCUCUGCGGUGAGAGUUGGUGUGCUGACCACGGCCAUCUCGCGCCUACCUAUUCCGGUGUGCUCGCCUCCAGCAACUCGCCACUACGGCCUGGCGCAAAUCUAGCACCUGCAGAAAUCGAGUCUGCCAUCAAGGAUUG